rfam:Anopheles epiroticus strain epiroticus2 unplaced genomic scaffold supercont1.1148, whole genome shotgun sequence.
ACUAACAUUCUCUGCAAUGGGAUAGGAUCCGACGCCCCAUUAAGGGAUAAUAUAGGCUCUUCUAUCCAACUCCUAUCCCGACUCAUCCUUGUCGAGCAGAGUGGUAACAUGUGUUUCAUAAUUCGGGCUUGGUACAGGGGAUACCUCUUGCACCUCGACCGUAUUAUAGCGCAUGGCAGAUCGGGAAGGA